CUUACUUGUAAAACAAUACAUGUAGUCUCUGAGGUUCCUUCUAGGCCUAGCUCUCUGAUCAGUCCUAUGACUUCCACUGAGAGGAAUCUAGCUAACUUCCAAAGAGCCCAUUCUAUUUUUGGAUGGGCUUAUUGUGAGAAGCUUUUCCAUAUAUCAAAACCAAUAAAUCAUCUCUCUAGAUUUAUUCCCAUUGCUUAAAACAAGCCAAAUAUUUCUUCUCUUUUUCCAUGACAGAUUGAUGAAGACCACUAUUAUAUCCCCAUCAACUCUUCUCUUAUACAGGCCAAACAUCCCCAGUUCCUUUAAGUGAUCCUCAUAUGACAUGAUCUUGAGGGCCUUAACUAUCUUGGCCACCAACCUUUUGGAUACUUCUCAACUGAACAUCAUUCUUGUUACAAUAUGGUACCUGGGCCAAAGCACAGUGCUUGGCAUAUUGUGGUUGGUUGGUUGUCUCUCAAACCAAGGAUGACGAUUGUCUUUGUGUGUUUUUGUGCACAAAGACACUUGUGCAUGA
rnacentral:lncRNA from 1 species